rnacentral:rRNA from 1 species
UACGGAGGGUGCGAGCGUUGUCCGGAAUCACUGGGCGUAAAGGGCGCGUAGGCGGCUUUUUAAGCGUGCGGUGAAAGCCCGGGGCUCAACCCCGGGUCGGCCGUGCGAACUGGAAAGCUCGAGCCCACUAGAGGCAGGCGGAAUUCCGGGUGUAGCGGUGGAAUGCGUAGAGAUCCGGAAGAACACCGGUGGCGAAGGCGGCCUGCUGGGGUGGAGCUGACGCUGAGGCGCGACAGCGUGGGGGAGCAAACAGG